rnacentral:rRNA from 1 species
GCGAACGCUUGCGGCAGGCCUAACACAUGCAAGUCGAACGAACUCUUCGGAGUUAGUGGCGGACGGGUGAGUAACACGUGGGAACGUGCCUUUAGGUUCGGAAUAACUCAGGGAAACUUGUGCUAAUACCGAAUGUGCCCUUCGGGGGAAAGAUUUAUCGCCUUUAGAGCGGCCCGCGUCUGAUUAGCUAGUUGGUGAGGUAAAGGCUCACCAAGGCGACGAUCAGUAGCUGGUCUGAGAGGAUGAUCAGCCACAUUGGGACUGAGACACGGCCCAAACUCCUACGGGAGGCAGCAGUGGGGAAUCUUGCGCAAUGGGCGAAAGCCUGACGCAGCCAUGCCGCGUGAAUGAUGAAGGUCUUAGGAUUGUAAAAUUCUUUCACCGGGGACGAUAAUGACGGUACCCGGAGAAGAAGCCCCGGCUAACUUCGUG